rnacentral:rRNA from 1 species
UACGGGGGGGGCAAGCGUUGUUCGGAAUUACUGGGCGUAAAGGGCUCGUAGGUGGCCAACUAAGUCAGACGUGAAAUCCCUCGGCUUAACCGGGGAACUGCGUCUGAUACUGGAUGGCUUGAGUUCGGGAGAGGGAUGCGGAAUUCCAGGUGUAGCGGUGAAAUGCGUAGAUAUCUGGAGGAACACCGGUGGCGAAGGCGGCAUCCUGGACCGAUACUGACGCUGAGGAGCGAAAGCGUGGGGAGCGAACAGG